ensembl:lncRNA
CUUCUAUAAAUUCACAAUUUAAAUAUUCAGAUUUAUAUAAUUAUUUCCUGUUUGUCACUCAAAAAAUGAAGGAUUAUUAGCUGUAUACCACUGUUCCAUUAACAUGUUUGACAAAAUAACCAAGGCAUUUCAACAAAAAUCUUUGUUUUGUGGAAAACACAGUGAUCAAAAUUAGAGAACAGUAACCACUGUAGCACGAAAGAAGAAUUAAAAUUACUCAAAUUAAAAGAACUAAAAUUUUGUAAGGUUUCAUCUGUUAGAAAUUAGUAGGAAGUGUAGAGGCCCUCACUUUGAAUGACUUCAGACAUCACUAGUUCCUCACACUGCUCUGGUGCGAUCUUGGUCCACUCUUCUUCCACUCUCUUCCAUAGUUCGGUAACUGUAGUGGGUUUCUUAGCCAUAACUUUGUCGCCAAGAAUUUUCCAGAGAUUUUCAGUUGGGUUAACAUCAGAACUCUGGCCUGGCAAUUUCAUUAUUUCAAUGUUUUCAGGUUCAAGGAACUGCUUUAGUCAUUUUGCAGUGUGAUGGGGGCAUUGUCUUGCAUGAAAAUUGCAGGCUGGUUGGAAGAUGCUUGCAGGGAAGGAACUGCAUGUUGCUGAAGGAGGUUCUGAUAAACAUUUACAUUCACCCUGCCAUGUAUAGCUGUAUAAGAGGCCCAACUCCUGCUGCACAAAACAUCCCCUAAAUCAAGACACUUCCUCCUCCACCUUUCACUGACUUCUUUAAUCACUCAGGGUUCAGUCUUUCCCCAGUUUGAUGCCAAACAAAAUGUUUCCCAUCAGAAUCAAAUCAAUUAAUCUUGCUCUCAUCACUAAAGUGAACUUUGGACCAGUUCUCCUCUCUCCAAACAACAUGCUCCUUAGCAAAGAUCCUUUCCCUGUUCAGCACUGAACUGGCGAGCAAUUCCAGCUGCAGUGUUGAACCUAUUCCCCAAUGAGAGUCUCCCAGAGAUGGAAAGUAAGUAACGAAUUACAUUUACUCGCAUUACUGUAAUUGAGUAGCUUUUUGUGUACUUCUUCUUUUUGAAGUAAUUUUUAAAAAUGUGUAAUUUUACUUUUACUUAAGUAGGCUAUAUUUUAAAACAAUAUAUAAAUGUAAAACACAUUAAUUACUGAGUAAAAAAAAUGCUCACUGGAAACUACUGCAGUAAUGGGCAGGAGAGAAAACUGGCGCUAAAAUUUCAAGAAAGAUGCAGACGGACAAGACAGGCAUUAUGGUGCAGACCCAGCUGAAAACGAAACACCCUCGUAUUCAAAAUCUUUUGAUUUUUUUUAUAUAUAUAUAUAUAAUUUCAAAUGAGGUUCAACAUUUUAUGU